GGUGAGGCUUAGUGGUAGAGUGCUUGCCUAGCAUGCAUGAAGCCCUGGGUUCAAUUUCUCAGCACC
rnacentral:tRNA from 1 species